UACUGAAACCCAGGGAUGCUGCCAUCUAUGGUAUGGAGUCCUCCCCGACUGUUCCAUGAUGUUGUCCUUCUGGUGAAUCUCAUGGUAAAGAGAGGAAGUCUGGUACCUUUUCUUUCUCCUGGCCUUCCAGUCAGGAUGAGCACUGAUAUUGAACCCUCUUCCUGUGAUUGCUUUGUGGCCCUCCCGCCAGGAUCGGCAGGCGACUACGUUAUUUUUGGGAAGAAUUCGGAUCGGCCGGAGGAUGAAGUUCAGGAGGUUGUUUAUUUUCCAGCUGCCUCUUAUGAGCCGGGGUCGACAGUCGAGUGCACCUACAUUGAAAUUGAGCAGGCUGAGACAACACAUGCAGUGAUCCUGAGUCGACCUUCCUGGCUUUGGGGGGCCGAGAUGGGAGCCAACGAACAUGGCGUCUGUAUUGGGAAUGAAGCUGUCUGGACAAAAGUGCCUGUGAUGGAUGAGGAAGCCCUGCUUGGCAUGGAUCUGGUCAGGCUGGCUCUGGAGCGUGGAAGCUCUGCCAAGGAGGCUUUGGAUGUUAUUGUCAACCUCUUGCAAUGCUAUGGUCAAGGGGGCAAUUGCCGGGAAGUGAUGACCCCAUUCAGCUAUCACAACACUUUUCUGCUAGUGGACCGUCGGGAGGCCUGGGUACUAGAGACUGCUGGACAUUUGUGGGCUGCACAGAAAAUUAAUGAUGGUGUGAAGAACAUCUCGAACCAGCUGACAAUCGGGACAGAGAUUACCACUGAACACCCUGAGCUUCGGAGCUUCGCACAAAGCCAUGGCUGGUGGGAUGGGGAGACAGAAUUCAGCUUCUCUCAGGUGUAUUCGCUGGAGAACCCACCAGCCAGGAUGGAGGCAGCCAAGAGACGCUACCAUGGAGGCCAGGAGUUGCUCAACAUACACUGUGGCUCCAUGACAUUGAAGACCAUGAUGGAGAUAUUGCGGGAUGAAGCUAGUGGAAUCUGCAUGGAUUCAGGUGGAUUUCGCACCACUGGCAGCAUGGUGUCCAUUCUGCCUCAGGACUCCUCUCUACCUUGUGUGCACUUCUUCACUGCUACCCCAAAUCCAUCCUGUUCUGUGUUUAAACCGUUUAUCUUUACGGAUUCACCAACUCCAGUCCUGCAAACCAUCUCUCCAAAGUAUGGAGCACAUGACCCAGUGAAGAAAAAGCCACGGUUCCAGAAUAGUGUGGACAGGCGUCAUGAGCUUUACCUAGCACAUCAGGCAGCGUUCAAAGGCUCAGAGCAUCGCCAGAUUUUGCUCCGCACCUUGCAGCAGCUGGAGGAGCAGUGCUUGGAGGACAUCAUGCAGAUGCUGGCAAAGGGUGUCGCCCCCGAGGGAGAGGAGGUGGCUGACCUUUUCUUUGAUUGUGUGGACACAGAGAUCAAGUUCUAUCAGUUAUACCAGUAGAAGCCAGUAGGUAACCCCGACACCAAUCUCUCCCUGAAUGUGAAGUCUUUGAAGUGGCAUUAUGUAGGACAAAAGAGCCAACGUCUAUGGGCGUUCUGAAUUCGGAAGUCUAGGUAUGAACCAGGCCUGGAUAUGGCGCUAGGUAAUCACAAAGCACACUUGAUAUACCCACCCUUACGUUCACGCACAACGGAGUCUCCAGUCAAUGGUAGCAUGUGCUUGAGCAUUGGCAAGAAGCCUAUGAGAACAUGUGAAGAAGCCUAUGGGGACACAAGUAAAGUCCACAAAGAAGACACUCCAGAUGGGAAUCGAACUGGACUGAAGUGAUCGCCCAUACCUGUGAACUUCCACAUAGUGAACAAAACAUCUUCUUUCGAUUUUUAAAAAUGUUUCUGAUAUGUUAUGGUUUUUGGAAUUAGGAACUUUUUCUGGUUAAAAACAAUAUUUGAUAUAAUGUCAAAUUCAUAAAAAUCUUAACUCUUAUAAAAAGAUGUUUGUGUGAUUACAUCUGCAGGCAUAGAAGGUCUCUUUACAUAAUGGCAAAAAGGAUAUUUUCUGUGUGUGCUCCAUCUGCAAGUGAUUUAAUAAAAGAAUAUAUUGAAAAAUAAAUAUAAUGGAUGUGAAAAGAUU